rnacentral:lncRNA from 1 species
AGUAGCGGCCGCUCCGGGGCCCGCACGGAGCUCGCGACCCGCUUGCGCGGCGGGAGGCAGCCCCGGGCAGGGACCCCGGCCUCCUCAGCGGGCGCUCCCGGCGCUGAGAUGCCCCGAGGGGGCGGUGGCCGCGAGCCGAGCCCGGGUGGAAGCGCGUCGCAGCGGACGCGGGCGCCCCUCGCCACCUCAGUGACCCUUUGGGAGCCGGGACCGGAGCCCCGCAGGCGGCGGUGCGGGCCCGCGGGGGCGGCGAGGUCCGUGCCCCUAGCGUCCGGAGCGGGCGCAGGCUGCUGAGCCUCGGCUGGGCUCGUUGCCUCCCGCCUUUCCCCCCAGCCCCCCGCGAGCUGGCAGGAGGAAAUAGCGCGCGGCCCCUUUAAAUUUACCCAGGAGCCCUUAAAGGAGCCCCAGGGGCCCCAGACAGGAAUCCCCACCCCGGUCCAGCCCGCGCCGCCGAGCGAGGCAGCGGCGGCAGGGGCGGCCCCGGGCCAGCAGUGGCCUCGGCACGGGGCCGACGGCUGCCGCCCGCCGGAUCGAGCGGCAGCGCGGAGCCAGAGGAAGACGAAGGAGGGCAAGAUCUUCAGCUGGAAGGGGGUGCCUUGGGGUCCUGGGGGAGUGCCCCCCUGCCCUCCUCCAGGGCCAGGGGACCAGCAUCUUCAGGCAGGAAAUAUUCAGACCACUGUGAGGCCCGGGCCUCGAGGCCUGGAAAGAGCCGCAUCCCUGGCCGUGACCACCGGCGCUACUACCACGACCACUGGCGGCUGGAGUACCUGAUGGACUUCAACCCUGCCCGGCACGGCAUGGUGUGCAUGGUGUGCGGCAGCUCCCUGGCCACCCUCAAGCUCAGCACCAUCAAGCGCCACAUCCGCCAAAAGCACCCCUACUCCUUGCAUUGGAGUCCCCGGGAGAAGGAAGUCAUCAGCAACAGCUGGGAUGCACACCUGGGGCUGGGGGCCUGCGGAGAGGCCGAGGGCCUGGGGGUCCAGGGGGCUGAGGAGGAGGAGGAGGAGGAAGAAGAGGAGGAGGAGGAGGGGGCCGGUGUCCCAGCUUGCCCGCCCAAGGGCCCAGGCAAAGCCCCAGCUGGUGGGGGCUGCCGGCGCCAGCGGCGAGGGGGCCCAGUGGCACCCCGGGCUCGGCGUCUGCGCCUCUCAGCCUCCCGGAGGGCCGGGGGCAGCAGGGGGCUGGGGGCCCGGCGCCUGGAGAGGAGGCUGAAGGAGUCCCUGCAGAACUGGUUCCGGGCCGAGUGUCUCAUGGACUAUGACCCGCGGGGGAACCGGCUGGUGUGCAUGGCCUGUGGCCGGGCACUGCCCAGCCUGCACCUGGACGACAUCCGUGCCCACGUGCUGGAGGUGCACCCUGGCUCCCUGGGGCUCAGCGGCCCCCAGCGCAGUGCCCUGCUGCAGGCCUGGGGGGGCCAGCCCGAGGCGCUGUCUGAGCUCACCCAGUCCCCACCAGGUGCGAGGCCCAUCCCAGGCUGAGACCCCCUCAUACUGGGGCUCUGAAGUGGGGUCUGUGGCCAAAACUGGGAGGCAGGGACUUAGGGCUGAGGGCUGAAGGCCAGGAGCUGGUGCUCCACACACAUACUUUCCCCCUGCCCCCAGACAGAGACAGACUGGGGCCUCUAGCUUGGGGCUGGGGUGAGGAGCCAGGAUGGACCCCUCUGAGUGGGCAAGGGCAACCCAGCCAGCAGGCUGAGCCCCUCUCCCUCACCCCUUCCCCAACAGGCGAUGACCUCGCCCCCCAGGACCUGACCGGAAAGAGCCGGGACUCGGCCUCCGCUGCUGGAGCCCCCUCCUCUCAGGAUCUCAGCCCCCCAGACGUAAAGGAAGAGGCUGGCUGGGUCCCUGAGAGGCCCGGGCCCGCAGAGGAGGAGGAGGAGCUGGAGGAGGGCGAGGGCGAGAGGGCGGGGGUCCCGGGCCGGUCGCCGCGGGGCCGCGCCCACCGCCGCCACCCCCAGGAGCGCUGGCGGCUGGAGUACCUCAUGGAGUUGGACGGCGGCCGGCGCGGCCUGGUGUGCGGGGUGUGCGGGGGCGCGCUGGCCUCGCUCAAGAUGAGCACCAUCGAGCGCCACAUCCGCCGGCGCCACCCGGGCUCCACGCGCCUCGGCGGGCCUGUCCAGGCCCUCAUCGCCCGGGAGUGGAGCGAGAAGGCCGCCCACCUGCUGGCCCUGGGGCCGCCCCGCCCCGAGUCCCCCCAGGGCCCCAUCCCCCCCGGCACUGCCGCAGCCUCCGACGAGGGGGGAGGGGACGAGGAGGAGGAGCCAGAGGAGGAGGAGGAGGAGUGGGGCGACGUUCCGCUGUCCCCUGGAGCUCCCUUGGAGCGGCCCGCCGAAGAAGAGGAGGACGAAGAGGACGGCCAGGAGCCUGGGGGACUCGCCUUGCCGCCGCCGCCUCCUCCCCCGCCUCCGCCCCCGCCCCGCAGCCGGGAGCAGCGGCGGAACUACCAGCCGCGGUGGCGGGGCGAGUACCUGAUGGACUACGACGGCAGCCGGCGCGGCCUGGUGUGUAUGGUGUGCGGGGGCGCGCUGGCCACGCUCAAGGUGAGCACCAUCAAGCGCCACAUCCUGCAGGUGCACCCCUUCUCCAUGGACUUCACGCCUGAGGAGCGCCAGACUAUCCUGGAGGCCUACGAGGAGGCGGCGCUGCGCUGCUACGGCCACGAGGGCUUCGGGCCGCCCGCCCCGGCGCCGCGUGACGGCGGCGCGGACCUCAAGUCUGGCGCUGUGUGUCGGGCGUAGCGGCCUAGCGGGCCCCCGGGUCAGGUCGGGUCGGGUCGGAUCGGCCCCGCCCCGCCCUGUGCUCGCCCGGCCCUUCGGCUGGGAGACCCUCGCGUCCGGUGUUAGCGCUUCCCGCGGCCGCGCCCCCCGCUGGCCGGGCCGGGCGGAGACGGGGGAUCGGGUGGGGCCACCGGCGUCUGCGCGGUGCCACUUGGGUCCCUGAGCCAGUCGGUGCGCUGCGGGAAGCGCACUCUCCCAUCGGCCCGGAGCCCUGCCCUCCCCGCGCAGGGCCCACGUUUUCCGAGAAUCCUCAGUGGCCUCCACGUGUUAGCGCCGAGCGCUCCCGGCCGCACCCCGCGAGGGGGUUCUCCGCAGGCCGGGACUGGGGGCGCCGUCAGUCAGUAUUAGGGCCGAAGGGGGGCCGUGCGGGCUCUGGCUCUGGCCCUGGCUGGGGGCCCAGUUCCCUGCAGCCUUGCACGCUGGCAGGCACGGCUCCCGGCUUGGGGGCUGCUGGCUGCCCUUCCCUAAUUGGGAUUCUCGGCCUCUCGGAGGCCCCGGCUGCGGACUGGGGCUUCCAGCGGGAGGCUGGGCCGCAGGGCUCGGGAGCCUUCCCGGGGUGGGAAGGCGCGUUGGACCGAGGGCGGGGCUACGCGCCCGGGGCCCGGGCUGGACCAGCUGCGCUUACCUCCCCGGCAGGCUCAGUGAGAACCGUGCGCCCGGCGGCCCCACUCUCCUCCCAGGCCGCUGCCACGCCCUCCAGGAAAGCUCUUGUAAAGGGAUUAGCACUUUUUUCCUUUGCUCCUCUUGCCCCGAGGGUCUCUGCUUACCCCUAAACCAAGUCCGUGGGAGCCCGGGGCACAGGCGGUCCCGGCAGUCAGCCUUCGAUUCCCGCCCCAUCCCCAUCCCCCUUUGUCCGCGGUGGAUGCGGCGUCCGUUCUCAACCCGCAGGGCCUGGGGCCGGGCCUCGGCCUCUUUUCCCCGUGGCAGCCGCAGGCCCUGUGUGGCAGGGAUGGGGCCCCGCGAUCUCCCAGGCAGGUCCGAGAGGGAUGUGUAGAUUCAUUCUCCUGUGGAGAACAGGUGGCCCCGAGAUCAGGCCCUUUUUUGCUCUUUGUAUUUUAUUUUGAAACUGUAUUUAAUGCUUUUAUAUGAAAGGGGGAGGGGCGGGGACAGAGCUGACCCAGUCACCCUUAUGUGCAAAUGUCUUAUUUAUUAUGCGUGUAUCAGAGAUAAGCUGUGAGGUGGUGGAGGGAGGACCUGAAGGAAGGAGGAGCGAGGGCAGAGGCGGGGACGGGAGGACCCCAACUAGCUGUGCUGAUGUUAAUCCCGCUGGGAGACUCCGGGCCCUACUGUCUGCUCUUCACAAAGCCAGGCUGCUGCAGGAACAGUUCCCGCGGUCCUAAAGCCGGGGCGGGGAGGCUAGUGGGUGGAACUUGAGGGUUGGGUCUGGAGGAAGAGAUGCCUGGGCAGCGUGGUCCAGCCCCUGCCUCGGGGUGGAAAGGCAGAGAGCAAAGAGGAGGCCCCUCUUAUUCCGGACCCCCAGGCCAGAGCCCAGGAGUGGGAAAGCAGAGGGCAAAGAGGAGGCCCCUCCUCUCAUCCCUGACCCCCAGGCCAGAGCCUAAGGUUCAAGUGCCUCAGGCCCAGUCCCCUUGACGCUUCCUGUUUGGGAGUUGGAUUUUAUACCACGGAUUUUAUAGCAUUUUUAUAUAAUUGAGGAUUGUCAGAAUUGGAAAGGGCCCUGGAGAUCACUAGUACUACCCUCCUCACCUUCACAGAUAGGUAAAUUGGAGCCCAGGAACCGAGAUGAUCACACAGCCAGGUAGGGACAGUACAAGAACUAGAAUGAAAAUCCUAGCUCCUGACUCAGUGUUCUUUGCACGAUGCCACACUGCUUCCCAAUUCGCUGGUCAGUUAUUAAAAUUUGUCAGGCCUGCCGAAGGAUUGACAUGCUGGGCAAUGCAGGCCACCACGGUGGAUCUGUGACUCCUGAAGGUGGCAAAGCCCUGCACACUGCCUUGGGAUGAGCACACUGAGCUCUGCAGGGCCUCAGCUGGAAGGCGCCAUCCAAUCGUCCUUCCCCUCCCCAGCAGAACUCCAGAGGUGGGGCGGCUGCCGCAGGGCCCAAGGCUGCCUCGGCAGGGGGCUUUGUGCUUUUUGUUGUGGAGGCCACCAGGGAUUCAGGAAGAUCCUGAAUGGGUUGUCAAUUGACUGAAAAGUAAAUUCCCAGUGAGUUUGAACCUCCACGGUUUUUGAGACAGUAUUAAAAGCUUGAGAACGGAGAUUAUGGAUGGCACCAGGCUGGGCACUGCCAUUCUUUUACUUUCCUUCAUGCAUUUUUUCGGAUCCAGAGUAUUAACACCACUUUUUUUACUCUGCCCAUUCAAAAACAGUAGGCAAAUUGGGGGAACCAAUUUAUAAUCACUCAAGCCCACUGCCAAAGUUCGGAUAAGCCAGGGCAGAGGGGUUAGAUUCCCCCCCCUCCGUAGGCAGAGAGAGGCCUCAGGAGAGUGGACAUCUUUACUGAGACAGCCCCAAACACACCAGUGGCUCUCAAAGUGUGUCCCUGAGACCAGCAGCAUCACCUUAGGAAUCUGCUAGAAAUAAAAAUUCUUGGGCCAUACCCCAGGGUUACUGAAUCAGAAACUUGGUUGGGGCCUAGCAGUGUUUUCAUGAGCCCUCCAUUGAUCUUGAUGCAGCUGAAGUGCCGGGCACCAGUGAAAGGGAAGGGCUGCGGUAGUGAUUCCAUUGAUUCCUGCUUUGAUGGAAGUUAUGGCCUCACAGGUUAGACGUUGCAAGUUGAGUUGGCCCUCUUGCCUAGGUGUGCCUCCUUGCCUUGGGAUUCUGACAUGAACAGGUGAAGUCUCUUCAUGAUUUUUUUUGUUGUUGUUGUUAAUGGUAUGCUUGCUAUUAUGGCCAAUAUGUAAAUGUUACUCUGAAUACAUAUUUAUAUACCAUGUUACUUAGUGACAUUAUUCAAACAUUUGUAUGCGUAUUUGUGAAAUUGUUUGCAUCAGUCAUUUAAAAAAUAUUUCAGCCUAAGUUUUCUAAGAGGUAUGUUGAAUACAUUUUUAAAAGCCAGCUUAAGGGUCACAGCAGCCUUAGUUUAGGAGAAGAGCUAAUCACAGGUGACCACUCAAGUUCUUUCAAUGAAGACCUGAUGAUGUAUUUAGUUCCCAUUUUCCACGGUGAUUGACUCAAUUUAAGUGUAUUGUGGCUAUAUGUAAUUUACAGGCUGCUUUGCGUUGCAGGUGGGAAAAUCUCCCAGGCUGGUGUGAGGCUGAACUGGGGUAAAAGACCCCCUGACCCCUCCUCAUUCUUCUAAGGUCACCACCUCUUAGAGGGUCUCUUAUUUUCUUUCAGAGAUCAAAUGCACAGUUAUGCUGUACAACUAAAUUCUGCAGUCUUGGGAAUCCUUACGAGUACCAACUAUUAGUCACUUUUUAAAGUCCCCAAAGUGGAGUGAGGAUAGGGGGAGUGGAAGCAGUGUUUGGUUCUUACUUUACCCAAACUGUGUAUAAAGAAUAAAGUUAGCAGAAUGAUGCCACAGUCAUUGUUUGUGUUUUUUUUUUUUUUAUUAAUACCACAUCAAUUUGAAAUUUUACAGGAACCAAGAUUCAAGCUCCUUAGGUGCUACUGUAUUUUUAUGUUGCACGCACAGACACGUACACACAGUUUCAUUAGUAAUUUUUCAUCUAUAGGUUUUUCUUAAAAAAAAAAAAAAAUCCUGUGUGGCACAAAGAUCUCUUCAAUUAUCUAAACACAGCAGCAACAAAAGAAAAGAACUGGAUGUGGCACUUCCACUGCAGAAGGUCCUUUGGAGGGGAAGCCCAAAAAGACAAUCACUGACUUCCUGGGAGGGCAGAGGAUGAGGAUGGAGAAUGCACUUCCUACUAGGACAUGAAACCAGUUAAAACACUCAAAGGGGGCUAAGAAAAUAAGAUGGAGUAAGGCAAGGGUACCUUUUACCCAUCCAAAUUCCUAACUAAUUUUUCCAAGACACGUAGACAAUUUCCUUCCACUACUUUUUGCAGCUGCCGUACUUUGGGACCAUCAAAUAUCAUAGCCCUUACUUUAAACUCGCCAGUGCAUAUUCCCUCUGAAGGAUCAUGACUAUGAGUGAGAACCUGAAGGAACUCACAGAUGAUUUUUCUUUCAAGUUCGCUGAAUUCUCAUAUUGAAGGUGAAGAAAAAAACUUGCCCCCAAAUGGGAAUCGGAGAUUUGAAUCUCGGGAAAAGAUCAAGAAAAAAAGGCUUUCUGUAUUUCACCUCUUGAGAAUGUUCCCCCCCAGACUGAGAUAGGAUCACAAAAACUCAAUAACUGAGGAGCCCACAUGCAGGUUAUUUUUUUCUCUAACAAGUUUACAGCAGUGCACAGCAGUUACAGACAUUUAUUUUAUAGUAAGAAAAGUACAACCUUAUUUAUUAAACUUGAGGUGGGCAGGGGAGAGGGAGGAAAGCACAUUCGGGAACGAGUUCUCAAACUAAUGCUCAGAACCGGUGUCCAGUGACGUAGAAACCACUUUCCCAAAUGGCGGAGCCUUUCCUUCCCUGGGGAUAGUGGCAGAGGGAGUGACCGCCACCGCAGCAUGCCUGCUGACUCCCUCUCAGUCCCACUUUCCAUUUCUAUUCUUUUUUAUCAGAUGGCAUUCUUGGAAUCAGGAAUUAUCACUAUCACCUAUAAGUUAUUUAUCAAGUUGAUAGUUAAAUCAUUAAAGAAAAGGAGUAUCAGGGGUAGCUGCUCACAUUGUGGGGCAGGAAGAUAGGAUUUGAGGGCUGCAAAAAAAAACCAAGGAAGGUAUCACACUCCUGUCCCCAAAUAAUUUUUUCAUAAGUUAAUCAUGACUUCUUAAGGGCAAAACUAUAAUGGAUAGCUGAGUAAGACUAGUGCUGAAAACUGGACAGAAGGACCCAGAGGUGUUCUUUCAUUUUCUCUCUUACCUCCAAUCUUUCCCCUUUCAAGCUACAGGUAAAGGCUCUACCACCAUUAAGGUAUUGACUUAUCCUAUGAAUUUGAUUCUUUCUUCUUCUGAGUUCUAAGAUAGUUCUUUUAUCAGUCCAUCAAUUUUUGUGCUUGAUACUGAGGGUUAAAGGGAAAGGAUGGGAGAAAACACCAAAUUAAAAAAAAAGCUUGGAAUGCAGGCUCAAGCUGACACUGAGUAUUUUCCUUCAUAGUACAAGUAACGACGUUAUAACUAUUAAAUGGUGUUUUAGUAACUGUUGCAUUUCUGGUUUCCAUGUACUUAUUCUGCCUUUUUUUUGGCGAUUCCAGGGAGUUUUGCUUGGAUCCUAUUGAGAAAAGGAGGGGAAAAAGAAAGAAAGUGAAAACAUUAGCAUUUGCUCUAGGUUUUUAUUUUAACUGUGAUGCUAGAGGACAGUCCUGGACUUGCAUAAGCAAUGUGAAAUGCAUUCUCCCGGCUGGGUAUGGUGGCUCACGCGUGUAAUCCC